rnacentral:rRNA from 1 species
UACGAAGGGUGCGAGCGUUGCUCGGAAUUAUUGGGCGUAAAGGGUAGGUAGGUGGUCUCAUUUGUCUGGGGUGAAGCCUUGAGCUUAAACUCAAGAAGUGCCCCAGAAACGGUGAGACUAGAAUCUGUGAGAGGGUCGUGGAAUUCCCGGUGUAGCGGUGAAAUGCGUAGAGAUCGGGAGGAACACCGGUGGCGAAGGCGGCUCCACUGGCCCGGUACUGACGCUGGAGGUGCGGAAAGCGUGGGGAGCAAACGGG